rnacentral:lncRNA from 1 species
GAGGGGGGUGGGGCUUCCUAAAGACUCCAGGGAAUUUCACAAGGAAAAGGCAGAGAAGGGCCUCUCAGGGAGGUGAGGUCACAGGAGUGAGGGCCCAGAAGGCACAGUGGGCAGACCCUUGUGUUGGGGACUCAGGGAAGGUCUCAGUGGGGUGCCCGGCUGGAGGGGUCUGGGCCUGGGCCCGCACAGAAGAUCCCCUACUCCUGCCCCAGGACUUGAGGCGUGGGCCUUAUGAAUCAGCAGCUGGGACUGCAGCCAGAGGAAGGAUGCCUCUCUGUCCCUGGCAGGGUAGGGCAGGGCUGGGAGAAAUCUCCCAAUUAUAAAUUUAAGAAAACACAAGUCAAGCAGCUGAGGGCUCCGUUCCUACCACUCAAGCCCCACACCCAGCUCCCCGGGAGCCCAGCUGCUGAGGGCACCUCCAGCAGGUCCGAGACACAGACCAGCCUCCUCUGCAGGGGACGACGGGAAGGGGGGUGCAGCACGGUCACCUGGGAUGGCACCAGCCCCGCUGACUCAAACCCUAGGACUCCAGACGCUUCUGAGAAUUCAAGCAGCACAGAAUAAAGCUGGAAGUGAACAUCCCCUUCAAGCCCCCUCACCUGACAUUCCCACUGCUGGGAGUUUUGUGUGUGGGCGGUAGAGGCUCACCAAGGCUGGCUUCCGUCUACCCCACGGCUACUGAGAGGCCUCAGGCCAUCUUACCCUUUGCUGGGAUUGCCUCCCCCCAGUAAUCCCUCACAUCGCCCCUGGGCAGCCCCCAAACCUGCCUGGACUUGUUCAAGACAGAUAUCCUGUUGGUCAUUGGCCCCCAUUAUCUCACUGUCCCAAUUUCUUGCCAAAAUAACUUCCCUCUACUGCUAUGAGACCAGAGGGUUGAAGUGACCACCCACCAGGGGCCCCUGGAAGGAGAGGGUAGAAACGGGGUCCCCAGAGCCUUAGGGCCUUGGGGAGAAUGUGGGGACCAGACCUGACAUGAAAGUUUUACAGGCCCCCAUGGGCAUCCUUCUGUUUGGUGGAAACAUUACUCCACCAGGCCAGUAAGCUUGGGUGCCUGAUUUUCCAACCAAUACUAGAUUUUAAGUUCUAUAGGAGUAGAAUUGUGUCUUCAGACUUUUGUUUGAAUGUCUCUCCCUCCUCUUUCCAC